CUUUAGUCCUUCUGCCUUCUUCGCUCGACUCACGUCGCCCUCUCCUCGUGAUUUCUUCCCUAUCACGUGACGCCAACCCGUGCUGCUCUGAUUGCUGACCGUCGGCUGUUGGACGAUGACGCCGAUGACAAGGAGGGUUGAACAUUUCAGGCGCACGACCACCGGCGUGGGACGCAGCCGCGAUAGGGGCGACGCCCAAUCCCUCCUACGAUCUGCCCUCCCAUCUUGUGAUUGCACGGGCGCAGAUCCAUCACCGCCUUUGUGUGGGGCUAGAGCAGUGACGUCGAUGCCGAUGGCACACCCCUUGAUUUCCACCAUUCGCGGUGUCGAUUCUUUUCGCCAUGCCCUAGCAACCGAGAUUCCCCUUUCGAUCCAACGCCAUUUACCUUGUGCUGGGCAGACACCGCGAAUCACCGCCACUGUUGCAAUCACCACUGGAUGCCAUCAUCUAUCUUCAAUCUUGGGCUAUCGUUGGCUGCUUGGCUACUAGGAGAUAGUUGUUGUCAGAGUUGGAUUUGUUGACAUGAAUUUGAGAUAAUGGAUUUGAUAUCAGGAUUGUGAAUUUGGGGGUUGGAACUUAAGGGGCAGCCAUUGCACUGUAGUUUCAGCCAUGAAUCCACGACAACAAGCUUCUCUAGCUGAGUCAACAUCGAAGUCUCUGGAUUGGGGAGGGGUAGUGAUUUCAUCUUCACCGACAGAGAGUUAUUCUAGCUAUAAGGCAUUGGUUGAGCCAUCAAUUUGGGUGAGUGGUUGACAUUGAUCUAUGUUUAGUUUAAACAUUUGGAUUGUGGAAUGGUUAAUGAUAUAAGUUUGGUUA